rnacentral:lncRNA from 1 species
GAGAAAGCUGGCUCAAUAGCUUCAGCAAAUUCUAUAAUAAUCUAAAAGUGAAGAUACAACUAUGCCAAGAGGUUUUAUAGAGCAACCUCUCGUUCAAGCAUGGAAAAGGCCUAUAGCCAUGUCAGCAUACAUGUGCUAAAUGUGUGGCUUUCUAGAAGCUCUUAUUUCUACACGUGAAUCUAAACAAGAAAUGAAACCUGCACAUGUGGAGGGAGAUCUCUUGAUGCAGCCCCUAUGUGAUGUUCACACCCCUCCUUAUGUGGCAAUGACCAUUUUAUCC